rnacentral:rRNA from 1 species
UACGUAGGGGGCUAGCGUUGUCCGGAAUCAUUGGGCGUAAAGCGCGUGUAGGCGGUCCGGUAAGUCCGCUGUGAAAGUCGGGGGCUCAACCCUCGAAUGCCGGUGGAUACUGUCGGGCUAGGGUGCGGAAGAGGCGAGUGGAAUUCCUGGUGUAGCGGUGAAAUGCGUAGAUAUCAGGAGGAACACCGGUGGCGAAGGCGGCCCUCUGGACGGAUACUGACGUGAGACGCGACAGCGUGGGGGAGCAAACAGG